rnacentral:tRNA from 1 species
UAGUUCAGUUGGUUAGAAUGCCUGCCUGUCACGCAGGAGGUCGCGGGUUCGAGUCCCG